rnacentral:rRNA from 1 species
AUUGAACGCUGGCGGCAUGCUUUACACAUGCAAGUCGAACGGCAGCGCGGGCUUCGGCCUGGCGGCGAGUGGCGAACGGGUGAGUAAUGCAUCGGAACGUGCCCAGCAGUGGGGGAUAGCCCGGCGAAAGCCGGAUGAAUACCGCAUACGACCUGAGGGUGAAAGCGGGGGACCGAAAGGCCUUGCGCUCUUUGAGCGGCCGAUGGCGGAUUAGCUAGUUGGUUGGGUAAAGGCUUACCAAGGCGACGAUCCGUAGCUGGUCUGAGAGGACGACCGGCCACACUGGGACUGAGACACGGCCCAGACUCCUACGGGAGGCAGCAGUGGGGAAUUUGGGACAAUGGGGGCAACCCUGAUCCAGCCAUGCCGCGUGCGGGAAGAAGGCCUUCGGGUUGUAAACCGCUUUUGUUCGGGAAGAAAUCCUCUGGGCUAAUACCCCGGGGGGAUGACGGUACCGGAAGAAUAAGCACCGGCUAACUACGUG